rnacentral:lncRNA from 1 species
AUUUGUGGAGAGAGUAACUGAUAGCAAACUUGUUGAAGAUUCUCAUAUGGAGUCAUGUCUACCUUUGGCAGGUAAAUUAUUCAACCAAUUAGAUAAAUUUUCGUUUCUAAUAUUCUUCGUUGUUAACAAUAUUAACUCAAUCAUUUAGGCACACUAUACCGGGAGAAACAGGACCUUGUGGCAUAAACAUCAAAGAAGACUAAAAUAACUCAAGCUAAGGACAAACAUGUAGCUAAGGGUACAAAACUGAAAAACUAGAGAAAAACUAUUGUCAUUAUAUAGACACUUAAUCUUUGAAGUGUGUUCUUGUAUGAUUGAUGGGAGUUUCUGUGCAACAUUAUCAGCAAAGAAGGCGAAGAAAAUGAAGUCUAAUAUCUUAAAAGACAAGAUACAAAGCUAGCAUAUCUGAUUCAUCCCACCAACUUACUGAAGUGGUUGUCGAGCAUAAUAAAGGUUAGUAUUCUACAUGAGGCAACGGUGUUAAUAGUUCUAAAUCAAAUCAUCAAUGAUAUAGGAUAUUAUGCAAAUACAUUAUGUUUGUCAUUAACUAAUUUUAUUAAUAUUAUCAUCAACUUUUAGGCAAAGGAGUCCCACAAACACCAACACUCAAGUCAAGGAGUGGCAGAACAAUCAAGCGAAGAAUAUUGGACUAAUGAAGUGAAAGAUUUUAUGAGACUUUGAAGCAACUUCUGUAUGUACUUUGACUUUUGCCUCUAUUACACCGCGUCGGUCACAUUCUACUAUAUUUUGAGGUUACCUUUUGCAUGUACAUUGUAUAUGCCUCGAUGUAGUUUUUAGCUUAAUGCGAUAUGUAUAUAUAACGCGUAAUGUCUAAAAGGAUAGUUAAAUAGGUUAUAUAUAAAUUGUAUUGUGUAGAUUGUUGCUCCUAGCUGUACAAAUUAAAUACUCUUUGCUGUAUUACAACUGUGACCUACAAGUCAUAGUAUAAUAUGUCUA